rnacentral:rRNA from 1 species
GGGGAAUAUUGCACAAUGGGCGGAAGCCUGAUGCAGCGACGCCGCGUGAGUGAAGAAGUAUCUCGGUAUGUAAAGCUCUAUCAGCAGGGAAGAAAAUGACGGUACCUGACUAAGAAGCCCCGGCUAACUACGUGCCAGCAGCCGCGGUAAUACGUAGGGGGCAAGCGUUAUCCGGAUUUACUGGGUGUAAAGGGAGCGUAGACGGCGACGCAAGUCUGGAGUGAAAGCCCGGGGCCCAACCCCGGGACUGCUUUGGAAACUGUGCUGCUGGAGUGCAGGAGAGGUAAGUGGAAUUCCUAGUGUAGCGGUGAAAUGCGUAGAUAUUAGGAGGAACACCAGUGGCGAAGGCGGCUUACUGGACUGUAACUGACGUUGAGGCUCGAAAGCGUGGGGAGCAAACA